rnacentral:tRNA from 3 species
GCCCAGGUGGUGAAAUUGGUAUACACGCUGUGUUCAGGUCGCAGUGGGCUCACGCCCGUGAGAGUUCGAGUCUCUCCCUGGGCACCA